GGAGGCCGCGGCGGAAUCGUGCCGUUUCAGGGCUUCGACGACCGGGUAGUGAUGGUCGAUCAUCGCUCGUCCUCCCUCGAU
rnacentral:sRNA from 1 species